ensembl:lncRNA
GUCAGUUCAUGUGCAUAUGGCAGAAAUGUUCAGAAAAAUCAAUAAAAAGACGUAAACAAACAGACGAUUAACACUAUUAACAGCAAUUAUGCAAUCAAACUUAUAGCAAAAUGUGGUAGUUCUGUAUGUUGUCUCUGGGUUAGCAUCAUCUGAGGUCCUCUGAGGGGCUGGCAUCAUCUCUUCUCAGGUGUUCUGGAUCCAGACUGGAGCUUGUGUAAAUCCUAGUUACCACGGGAUGUAAAUCCCGUGGCAAAGCAGAGAAACAAAUAGAGACAUAAUUAGCGUAGCUGCUGUUCCAGCCAAGUAAAAUUAAUUUGUUUAACCCAAGCUAAAGAAUAAUAAUGCACAUUUGAUCAGAUAUAACUGCAGUCCAAAAUUAUGAGAUGCAUUAUUUGAAUGCUUGGCCAAAGAGGUGUGUUUUUAAUCUAGAUUUAAACAGAGAGAGUGUGUCUGAGCCCCGAACAUUAUCAGGAAGGCUAUUCCAGAGUUUGGGAGCCAAAUGCGAAAAAGCUCUACCUCCUUUAGUGGACUUUGUUAUCCUAGGUACUAUCAAAAGUCCAGCGUUUUGUGACCUUAGGGAGCGUGAUGGGUUGUAGCGUGGUAGAAGACUAGUUAGGUACGCAGGAGCUAAGCCAUUAAGGGCUUUAUAAGUAAGUAAUAAUAUUUUGUAACUGAUACGGAACUUAAUAGGUAGCCAGUGCAGAGACUGUAGUACUGGGGUAAUAUGAUCAUAUUUUCUUGACCUGGUAAGGACUCUAGCCGCUGCAUUUUGGACUACCUGUAGCUUGUUUAUUGAGGAUGCAGGACAACCACCUAGCAGUGCAUUACAAUAGUCCAGUCUAGAGGUCAUAAAUGCAUGAACUAGCUUUUCUGCAUCAGGAACAGGUAACAUGUUUCGUAGCUUGGCAAUGUUUCUAAGAUGGAAGAAUGCUGUUUUUGUAACAUGGGAAAUAUGAUUUUCAAAAGACAAGUUACUGUCUAAUAUAACACCCAGAUUUUUUACAGUAGAGGAAGUAACAUUACAUCCGUCUAG